UACGUAGGCAGCGAGCGUUGUUCGGAGUUACUGGGCGUAAAGGGUGUGUAGGCGGCUCUGUAAGUCGGGUGUGAAAUCCCACGGCUCAACCGUGGAAGUGCACUCGAAACUACAGGGCUAGAGUCCUGGAGAGGAAGGUGGAAUGCUUGGUGUAGAGGUGAAAUUCGUAGAUAUCAAGCGGAACACCGGUGGCGAAGGCGGCCUUCUGGACAGUGACUGACGCUGAGACGCGAAAGCGUGGGGAGCAAACAGG
rnacentral:rRNA from 1 species